UACGUAGGGUGCAAGCGUUAAUCGGAAUUACUGGGCGUAAAGCGUGCGCAGGCGGUUCGGAAAGAAAGAUGUGAAAUCCCAGGGCUUAACCUUGGAACUGCAUUUUUAACUACCGGGCUAGAGUGCGUCAGAGGGGGGUGGAAUUCCGCGUGUAGCAGUGAAAUGCGUAGAUAUGCGGAGGAACACCGAUGGCGAAGGCAGCCCCCUGGGAUGACACUGACGCUCAUGCACGAAAGCGUGGGGAGCAAACAGG
rnacentral:rRNA from 1 species